UACAGAGGUCCCAAGCGUUGUUCGGAUUCAUUGGGCGUAAAGGGUGCGUAGGCGGCGCGGUAAGUCGGGUGUGAAUCUCGGAGCUUAACUCCGAAACUGCAUUCGAUACUGCCGUGCUUGAGGACUGGAGAGGAGACUGGAAUUUACGGUGUAGCGGUGAAAUGCGUAGAUAUCGUAAGGAAGACCAGUGGCGAAGGCGGGUCUCUGGACAGUUCCUGACGCUGAGGCACGAAGGCCAGGGGAGCAAACGGG
rnacentral:rRNA from 1 species